AGGUGGUUAUAUCAGUUGGUUAGAUAGCUUGCCUGAUAAGCAAGAGGUCAUAGGUUCAAGUCCUAUACCACCUA
rnacentral:tRNA from 1 species